GCAGUCGAACGAUGAUCUCNNGCUUGCUGGGGGGANUAGUGGCGAACGGGUGAGUAACACGUGAGUAACCUGCCCUUGACUCUGGGAUAAGCCUGGGAAACUGGGUCUAAUACCGGAUAUGACCAUCUGGCGCAUGUCAUGGUGGUGGAAAGCUUUUGUGGUUUUGGAUGGACUCGCGGCCUAUCAGCUUGUUGGUGGGGUAAUGGCCUACCAAGGCGACGACGGGUAGCCGGCCUGAGAGGGUGACCGGCCACACUGGGACUGAGACACGGCCCAGACUCCUACGGGAGGCAGCAGUGGGGAAUAUUGCACAAUGGGCGAAAGCCUGAUGCAGCGACGCCGCGUGAGGGAUGACGGCCUUCGGGUUGUAAACCUCUUUCAGUAGGGAAGAAGCGAAAGUGACGGUACCUGCAGAAGAAGCGCCGGCUAACUACGUGCCAGCAGCCGCGGUAAUACGUAGGGCGCAAGCGUUAUCCGGAAUUAUUGGGCGUAAAGAGCUCGUAGGCGGUUUGUCGCGUCUGCUGUGAAAGACCGGGGCUCAACUCCGGUUCUGCAGUGGGUACGGGCAGACUAGAGUGCAGUAGGGGAGACUGGAAUUCCUGGUGUAGCGGUGAAAUGCGCAGAUAUCAGGAGGAACACCGAUGGCGAAGGCAGGUCUCUGGGCUGUAACUGACGCUGAGGAGCGAAAGCAUGGGGAGCGAACAGGAUUAGAUACCCUGGUAGUCCAUGCCGUAAACGUUGGGCACUAGGUGUGGGGGGACAUUCCACGUUUUCCGCGCCGUAGCUAACGCAUUAAGUGCCCCGCCUGGGGAGUACGGCCGCAAGGCUAAAACUCAAAGGAAUUGACGGGGGCCCGCACAAGCGGCGGAGCAUGCGGAUUAAUUCGAUGCAACGCGAAGAACCUUACCAAGGCUUGACAUGAACCGGAAAGACCUGGAAACAGGUGCCCCGCUUGCGGUCGGUUUACAGGUGGUGCAUGGUUGUCGUCAGCUCGUGUCGUGAGAUGUUGGGUUAAGUCCCGCAACGAGCGCAACCCUCGUUCUAUGUUGCCAGCGGUUCGGCCGGGGACUCAUAGGAGACUGCCGGGGUCAACUCGGAGGAAGGUGGGGACGACGUCAAAUCAUCAUGCCCCUUAUGUCUUGGGCUUCACGCAUGCUACAAUGGCCGGUACAAAGGGUUGCGAUACUGUGAGGUGGAGCUAAUCCCAAAAAGCCGGUCUCAGUUCGGAUUGGGGUCUGCAACUCGACCCCAUGAAGUCGGAGUCGCUAGUAAUCGCAG
rnacentral:rRNA from 1 species